GGCCUCUAGUGCAGAUCUUGGUGGUAGUAGCAAAUACUCAAAUGAGAACUUUGAGGACUGAAGUGGGGAAAGGUUCCGUGUGAACAGCAGUUGGACACGGGUUAGUCGAUCCUAAGACAUAGGGAAACUCCGUUUUAAAGCACGCACUUGUGCGUCGCCCGUCGAAAGGGAAGCCGGUUAACAUUCCGGCACCUGGAUGUGGAUUCUCCACGGCAACGUAACUGAAAGCGAAGACGUCGGCGGGGGCCCUGGGAAGAGUUCUCUUUUCUUCUUAACUGUCUAUCACCCUGAAAUCGGUUUGUCCGGAGCUAGGGUUUAACGGCCGGUAGAGCCCAACACCUUUGUUGGGUCCGGUGCGCUCCCGACGACCCUUGAAAAUUCGCUGGAAGGAAUAGUUUUCACGCCAGGUCGUACUCAUAACCGCAGCAGG
rnacentral:rRNA from 1 species